rnacentral:tRNA from 1 species
GUCCCUGUAGCUCAGUGGAUAGAGCGACUGCCUUCUAAGCAGUGGGUCGUGGGUUCGAAUCCCUCCAGGGACGCCA